GACGAACGCUGGCGGCGUGCCUAAUACAUGCAAGUCGAGCGGACCGACGGGAGCUUGCUCCCUUAGGUCAGCGGCGGACGGGUGAGUAACACGUGGGUAACCUGCCUGUAAGACUGGGAUAACUCCGGGAAACCGGGGCUAAUACCGGAUGCUUGAUUGAGCCGCAUGGUUCAAUUGUAAAAGGUGGCUUUCAGCUACCACUUGCAGAUGGACCCGCGGCGCAUUAGCUAGUUGGUGAGGUAACGGCUCACCAAAGCGACGAUGCGUAGCCGACCUGAGAGGGUGAUCGGCCACACUGGGACUGAGACACGGCCCAGACUCCUACGGGAGGCAGCAGUAGGGAAUCUUCCGCAAUGGACGAAAGUCUGACGGAGCAACGCCGCGUGAGUGAUGAAGGUUUUCGGAUCGUAAAACUCUGUUGUUAGGGAAGAACAAGUACCGUUCGAAUAGGGCGGCACCUUGACGGUACCUAACCAGAAAGCCACGGCUAACUACGUGCCAGCAGCCGCGGUAAUACGUAGGUGGCAAGCGUUGUCCGGAAUUAUUGGGCGUAAAGCGCGCGCAGGCGGUUUCUUAAGUCUGAUGUGAAAGCCCCCGGCUCAACCGGGGAGGGUCAUUGGAAACUGGGGAACUUGAGUGCAGAAGAGGAGAGUGGAAUUCCACGUGUAGCGGUGAAAUGCGUAGAGAUGUGGAGGAACACCAGUGGCGAAGGCGACUCUCUGGUCUGUAACUGACGCUGAGGCGCGAAAGCGUGGGGAGCGAACAGGAUUAGAUACCCUGGUAGUCCACGCCGUAAACGAUGAGUGCUAAGUGUUAGAGGGUUUCCGCCCUUUAGUGCUGCAGCAAACGCAUUAAGCACUCCGCCUGGGGAGUACGGCCGCAAGACUGAAACUCAAAGGAAUUGACGGGGGCCCGCACAAGCGGUGGAGCAUGUGGUUUAAUUCGAAGCAACGCGAAGAACCUUACCAGGUCUUGACAUCCUCUGACAACCCUAGAGAUAGGGCUUCCCCUUCGGGGGGCAGAGUGACAGGUGGUGCAUGGUUGUCGUCAGCUCGUGUCGUGAGAUGUUGGGUUAAGUCCCGCAACGAGCGCAACCCUUGAUCUUAGUUGCCAGCAUUCAGUUGGGCACUCUAAGGUGACUGCCGGUGACAAACCGGAGGAAGGUGGGGAUGACGUCGAAUCAUCAUGCCCCUUAUGACCUGGGCUACACACGUGCUACAAUGGGCAGAACAAAGGGCAGCGAAGCCGCGAGGCUAAGCCAAUCCCACAAAUCUGUUCUCAGUUCGGAUCGCAGUCUGCAACUCGACUGCGUGAAGCUGGAAUCGCUAGUAAUCGCGGAUCAGCAUGCCGCGGUGAAUGCGUUCCCGGGCCUUAUACACACCGCCCGUCACACCACGAGAGUUUGUAACACCCGAAGUCGGUGAGGUAACCUUUUGGAGCCAGCCGCCGAAGGUGGGACAGAUGAUUGGGGUG
rnacentral:rRNA from 1 species